GCGGAUGUGGCGGAAUUGGCAGACGCACUGGAUUUAGGUUCCAGCGGGGUAACCCGUGGGGGUUCAACUCCCUCCAUCCGCA
rnacentral:tRNA from 1 species